rnacentral:rRNA from 1 species
UACGGAGGAUCCGAGCGUUAUCCGGAUUUAUUGGGUUUAAAGGGAGCGUAGGUGGAUUGUUAAGUCAGUUGUGAAAGUUUGCGGCUCAACCGUAAAAUUGCAGUUGAAACUGGCAGUCUUGAGUACAGUAGAGGUGGGCGGAAUUCGUGGUGUAGCGGUGAAAUGCUUAGAUAUCACGAAGAACUCCGAUUGCGAAGGCAGCUCACUGGACUGCAACUGACACUGGGGCUCGAAAGUGUGGGUAUCAAAUAGG